GCCCCCUUAGCUUAAUGGAUAAAGUAACGGGUUUCUACCCCGUCGAUGAAGGUUCGAUUCCUUCAGGGGGUA
rnacentral:tRNA from 1 species